rnacentral:rRNA from 1 species
AACGUAGGUUCCGAGCGUUAUCCGGAUUUACUGGGCGUAAAGCGCGUUCAGGCGGUUUGGCAAGUCGGGCAUGAAAUCUCUCGGCUCAACCGGGAGAGGUUGUCCGAUACUGCUGGACUUGAGGGCAGUAGAGGGUGGCGGAAUUCCGGGUGUAGUGGUGAAAUGCGCAGAUAUCAGGAAGAACACCCGUGGCGAAGGCGGCUCUCUGGGACGGUACUGACGCUGAGACGCGAAAGCGUGGGGAGCGAACAGG